UACGUAGGUGACAAGCGUUGUCCGGAUUUACUGGGCGUAAAGGGCGCGUAGGCGGUAGCACAAGUCAGUUGUGAAAUCUCCGGGCUUAACUCGGAAAGGUCAACUGAUACUGUGCGACUAGAGUGCAGAAGGGGCAACUGGAAUUCUCGGUGUAGCGGUGGAAAUGCGUAGAUAUCGAGAGGAACACCUGCGGCGAAGGCGGGUGCUGGGCUGACACGUGACGCUGGAGGCGCGAAAGCCAGGGGAGCGAACGGG
rnacentral:rRNA from 1 species